UGGCCACGCGGGCAGCUGCAACCUGGGCAUGUACGUCUGUGUGGCAGGGGGGCUUCUGGACUGGGGGCUCGGCACCGACCCAGGAAGGGGAGCUGUGAGCAGGGACAUCUGGCCCUAGUCUCAGAGCAACAUCCCUCGAAAUGCCAUCUGGCCCUGGAAGGUGCAAGGGAGGCAGGAUGAGUCUGCUCAUGCUACCGCGGGCCGCCCAGCAAGGAAGCAGGCUGCCCGCCAGGCUGGCACGCGCCUCUUGCAGUGGAGGGUUUGCUCUUCAGGAACGGACAGAGAACCUCCAGACUCCCUCGGCUGCACGCUGGGGGCGAGCCCAGGCAGCCACAGGAGUCCUCCAAGCCAGAUGAGCCCGCCCUGCGGCACUGCCAGCACUUGGGACGCCAGACUCCCUUCAGGCGGCGGGCCCCAAGGGCACUGCGACAGCUCAGCACCCACCACAGAUCAGCAACAGGACAACCCGAGCGCGGAGACACAGACGGGAAGCGUGUGGGGUCCUGGGAUAGGCCCAACUCAAUGAUUUCCCCUCCCUGGGGCUAAGGUCUCAGCCGUGAGGGGGCUCUGGGGAGGGGAGGUCAGAGUAGCCUGGAGAGCUCUCCCUAAGGAGGGCCGUGGGAUCCAUGGGAUCUGCAGGGGAAUCGCCGGGGCUGGCCCUAAGGCUCUCCAGCCAGCGCCAGGGAGGCAGGGGCUCCAAACCAGCAGGCUGCUCAGGGUGGUCCUCGGACAGCAGCCAUGCCCUCCCAGGGAGCUUGCCAGACACACAGACCUUUCCCAGCCUCCAGACCAGAACCUGCAUUUUUUAGGAGCUUUCUGGGGGACCCUCAUCUGUGACCUGCCUCCAGGGAUACUUUCUCGCUCUACAGACACCACUGAUGUGAAGACGCAGGAGACAGGACAACCCCCCGUGAAGGGUCCUGUCCACCCACCACUGAGGCCUGGCCCGACUUUCUACAAGACCCUGCUGGGGGGGAAGUGCCCCUCGGAGUAAAGGAAAUACAGCCCCACUCCUGGGAAGACAGCACUCAUUUCCAUCAGAGGCCACGCCCCCCACUCACACGCCAGGAGAAAGCCACACCUGCAGAAGCCUGCUCCCCACCCAAUGCCAGGUACCCCGACAUGGCUCCCCAUUCCCUGGAACCACAGGCUCAGGCCCUGGUUCAGCCCAGUCCCCAGCAGGCUGUUGGACUCCUAGUAACCCCGGAGCUGGGUCAGGGAAGGAAGGUGCUGGGCCAGGCCUCCUGCACCCCUCAACAGUCCCCAUUUCACAGACAGGCAGGCUGAGGGCCCCAGGGAGGGGGCCCAAAGUCAUCCCAUGAGCAAGCACCAUGUGGUUCAGGUGAGCUCAGAGACCUCAGGGUGCCACCUCUCCUGCCCACAUGCCCACGGCCCCCCGGCACAGGCCCCCUGGGCCAGGACUCACCUGCAGCCAGGCGGGGGUUGGGGAUGUGGGCGAUCCUCCUCUUCUCGCCAGGGGCGGAAAUGUGGACGGAGGGCGACUUCUCUGCCAGCCUGGCGGGGGCCUGCAGCAAGCUCGCCGAUGCCCUCUGCGCCUGCUGGGCCCGCAGGUAGCACACCUCCUGCGCCGUCGGGGGCCGGGCCGGGGGCACCGCGGGACCCCUCCUCGGGGGCUCCACCUGCGUCACCACAAAUGCUAAGGCCUGGCAGCACAGCGGGGGCACCUGGAGCAGGCGACCCCGGGCAGGCUUGGGAGAGGGUGGCUGGAGCUCGGGGGCCGGAGGCACCACCUCCCUGGCUGCCUUCUGAGCUGCUGGGCACACUGGGGGGAAGCAGCAGGGGGCAGUGGUCCUCAAUGCCAUGUGGCUCCAGGCUCCCCCACUCCCAGUGUCUCCCGGUGCCCAGGCUAUGUCCUCAGCCCUGAUAAGGCACGGGUGGGCGGGACUACCCCGAUUACACUGGCACUCCAAUCCAAUCCCACUACGCCUAAUCUUCCUCAAAGCCCCUCCUCUGGGGAGGCUCUGGGACUGGAGCAACUGGGACUCUCCUGGCUGCUGACCCCGGAGCCAGGCUCUCUGCUUGUCCUGCACUACCUCGCCACGUCUGCACAGGGGCCUGACAAGCGCUACUGUCUCCGGGCUACAGAGGACACUGGAGCUCAGAGCUGGACAACCGGCCCAGGCCCAGGCCGCACACGGCGCAGCAGGCCGUCUGCCGCACUCUGGGGGAGGUCACCCUGGGGCUGCUGACCUGCUCUGUCCCUCGCCCCAGCACCGUGGCAAUCUAACAGGAAGGGGCAGGGCCAGCUCCCUCUGGAACUCGGGCAGCGUCAAAGAUAAGGUGUCUUCAAAAAGCUCAUGGAAAACGUGCGUUGUGACGAAACUUGCAUGGCUUUCAAGUUUUUUUGCCCCAAAAUAAACUGAUACUAACUUGUCA
ensembl:lncRNA novel transcript, antisense to REXO1